AGAUUCUGCCUAUUUUCUUAACAAUACAGGGUGUUUACAUGAGAAAUGCUAAGCAGGUGUAGCGAUUAGCUUGGUAUAAAAGGCUACAAAUAGCAUAUUUCAGCAAAAUGAUAUGGCCAAAACACACAUUAGACCGCGAUCGGAAGUUAUUACAUACACUCGACGGUGGUUUUGAGUGAGUUUUGAAUAAAG